UCGCUUCAGCAGCACAUACGCUAAUAUUGGAGUGAUACAGAGAAGAGCAGCAUGGCCCUUGUGCAAGGGGCCAAAAAGAAUGGGAAAAGAUUAUACAAAAAU